ensembl:lncRNA
AGGAUAACAGGCAGUGCCCUCAACAGCCGUGCCGUCCUCAAAACUGCCCGCAGGAAAAUGUACCUGACUGUCAGACACGAACGUGUGAUGUGAGUAUUUCAUAUUUUUCCAUAAGAAAUGGAAAAAUGUUUAAUAAGUUUGAAGAAGUCUUCUGCUCCUAUUUUCCAUUCCUUUUUUCUUAUUUUUUCAUUUUAAUAGGAGGAUAACAGGCAGUGUCCUCAACAGCGAUGCCCUAAUCAAGACUGCAGAGAGGAGAAUGUACCUGACUGUCAGACAAGAACGUGUAAUGAGGAUAACAGGCAGUGCCCUCAACAGCCAAGCCCUCCUCAAAACUGCCCACAGGAAAAUGUACCUGACUGUCAGACACGAACAUGUGAUGAUAACAGGCAGUGCCCUCAACAGCCAUGCCCUAAUCAAGACUGCAGAGAGGAAAAUGUAACUGGCUGUCAGACACGAACGUGUGAUGAUAACAGGCAGUGCCCUCAACAGCCAUGCCCUAAUCAAGACUGCAGAGAGGAAAAUGUACCUGGCUGUCAGACACAAACGUGCAAUGAGGAUAACAGGGAGUGCCCCCCUCAAGACUGCCCACAGGGGAAUGUACCUGGAGGCUGUGCCCA